rnacentral:lncRNA from 1 species
GUCUUGUGCUGUUUGGCUUUCACAAACUUUGCUGCAGGUCUUUAUCUGUUUCUCGACAAGAUAAGCAGGUCCGGCCUGUUUUGCGUGUCACGGAUGACUGGCUGCUGUGAGACUUGACAAGACAGAGGCGCGAUCGAGAUAACGCUCAUAAAUCCAGCAUGAACAGAGCAAGAGCUGUGAAGCAAGCGCAGCCUGCCGAGAAAGACAGAGAUCAGAGGUGAAAUUACAGUAAUAUCACACGCGGCG